AUGUGGAGCUAAACUGAAAAAAGUAAGUCUCAGUUCGGAUUGAAGGCUGAAAUUCGCCUUCAUGAAGCCGGAAUUGCUAGUAAUGGCAGGUCAGCAUACUGCCGUGAAUACGUUCCCGGGCCUUGUACACACCGCCCGUCACACCAUGAGAGUUGGGAAUACCCGAAGCCUGUGAGCUAACUAUACGAGGCAGCAGUCGAAGGUAGAAUCAAUGAUUGGGGUGAAGUCGUAACAAGGUAGC
rnacentral:rRNA from 1 species